rnacentral:tRNA from 1 species
UGGCUCAGUGGUAGAGCACUUGCCUACCAUGCAUGAGGAACUGGGUUUGAUUCUCAG